rnacentral:rRNA from 1 species
GACGAACGCUGGCGGCGUGCUUAACACAUGCAAGUCGAGCGGAAAGGCCUUUCGGGGUACUCGAGCGGCGAACGGGUGAGUAACACGUGAGUAACCUGCCCUCAGCUUUGGGAUAACCAUCGGAAACGGUGGCUAAUACCGAAUAUUCACUUCGGACUGCAUGGUCUGUUGUGGAAAGUUUUUCGGCUGGGGAUGGGCUCGCGGCCUAUCAGCUUGUUGGUGGGGUGAUGGCCUACCAAGGCUUUGACGGGUAGCCGGCCUGAGAGGGCGACCGGCCACACUGGGACUGAGACACGGCCCAGACUCCUACGGGAGGCAG